UACAGAGGUCUCAAGCGUUGUUCGGAUUCAUUGGGCGUAAAGGGUGUGUAGGUGGCGCCGUAAGUCGGGUGUGAAAUUUCGGAGCUUAACUCCGAAACUGCAUUCGAUACUGCGGUGCUUGAGGACUGGAGAGGAGACUGGAAUUCCUGGUGUAGCGGUGAAAAUGCGCAGAUAUCAGGAGGAACACCGGUGGCGAAGGCGGGGUCUCUGGGCCGAUACUGACGCUGAGGAGCGAAAGCGUGGGGAGCGAACAGG
rnacentral:rRNA from 1 species